rnacentral:rRNA from 1 species
UGGGGAAUAUUGCACAAUGGGCGAAAGCCUGAUGCAGCGACGCCGCGUGCGGGAUGAAGGCCUUCGGGUUGUAAACCGCUUUUAAUUGGGAGCAAGCGAGAGUGAGUGUACCUUUUGAAUAAGCACCGGCUAACUACGUGCCAGCAGCCGCGGUAAUACGUAGGGUGCAAGCGUUAUCCGGAAUUAUUGGGCGUAAAGAGCUCGUAGGCGGUUUGUCACGCCUGGUGUGAAAGUCCAUCGCUUAACGGUGGAUCUGCGCCGGGUACGGGCAGGCUAGAGUGCAGUAGGGGAGAUUGGAAUUCCCGGUGUAACGGUGGAAUGUGUAGAUAUCGGGAAGAACACCAAUGGCGAAGGCAGAUCUCUGGGCUGUUACUGACGCUGAGGAGCGAAAGCAUGGGGAGCGAACAGGAUUAGAUACCCUGGUAGUCCAUGCCGUAAAACGGUGGAUGCUGGAUGUGGGACCCUUCCACGGGUUCCGUGUCGGAGCUAACGCGUUAAGCAUCCCCGC